AUUUGAAGGAAUGGUUUUGCUGCUAAAAAUAACAGUGUGAAAAACAUAGCCUCCAAGGGGGACCAUUUAAAGAUUUUAAGCAGUGAUGUGACAUAAUUAGGUUUUUGUUUCAAAAGGUCGCUUUGACACCUGAACACAUCGUGGAGGCUGGACUGGAGGGAAGUGAGACUGGAGAGACCCAGAGAGAAGGCAGAGCAAGAACUGGCUACUCUGGGCUCCAUCCCAGGGUCAGCAUCCACUUUAGAUGGCGCCGGGGUUCACGGCUUGCCAGUCUCCACCUAGCUGCUUCUCCCAUUCAUAUUUCCUGCCUGGCCCAUGACCACCUUUGCCUUUGCAACCCCUGCCUUUGACUGUUUUUCGUCUUGUAUAUCCAGUCGGCCACCAAAUUCUGUUGUUUCUUCCCUCAGAUUACCUCAGAUUUGUUCCUCUCUCCAUUACUAUCCCAUCAUCCUAGAUUAGACACUUCAGGCUUGGGUUUCUCCAGGAACCUCUUCACGGUUCUUCUUGCUUUCAGUCUGUCUGCCCACCAAUCUUACAUCGCCACUGCUUAGCUUCUCUUGGUUCUUCAUGACAUAUUGCAGUACAGUUUUGUACAUUUUUGUUUCAGAUUUCUCCUCUUCUUCCCAGUCUUUGGCUUCUGUAGAAAAUUCUAAGCAGAGCAGAAGAUUAAAAUAGUGACUAGUGCAUUUCCAGUCUCUAGAAGCAGUGAUAACCAUGUUUCCUUUGCCUCUUUUUAUGCCAGAUAUUUGUAGAGUUAGCAGGACUUAAAAGGCAAGGGGACACCUUUCCCUCUUGCCACUUGCCUCUUGCCACUUUUUCCUCAGUGAAAGAUUUUGUGAAGAAGUGGAAUUUCAAGUUGAGUGGGUAAGAUUAUUUCAGGGAAUAUUAUAUUUGAGACUUCAUGCUAUCGGAUGCUCCCAAAGGGUGGUAAAUAACUACUGGGGUUGGUAAUAAUGAUGAAGGGUGGUAAUAGGAAAAUAGGGAAACUAUCUAUGUACCUAGGAAGAUUCUUGGGCCAAGUGUGAGAGGGCAGAGAAGAACUGGGGCCUUCCUGGGCACUCACAGAGGUGCUGGUCCAGGCCCAGAUGGAGCAGACAGGUGAAAUAUGGUUCACGUGGAGCUUGAAUCAUCAAGGAAAUAAAUGUAUGUGGUUGCUUCUCCUGACAAUUCUUAAAUUUCUCUCUUAGGAAUCUUUGGCCAUCUAUGAAACAAUUUCCAUGGGAAAAUGACUUGUUUGGACUGUAUUUUCACAAAGCUGAUAUUUCUGGCCCUUAGAAUAUGAUACCUGUUUGUCUAAAAAACAUAUAUCUAUUCAGGUUCUCUUGGACCUGUCCGUCUGUGUGCAGGGGACAAUUGCAUGGAGUCAAAGCCCAUUUCUGCUAGUCAGGUCAGCAGAGAAGAUAUUUUGUUUUCUGGAAUUCUGUAGGCCUGGGAGGCAUGAUCUGGUGUAGAACAAACCUGAGGAUCCAGAUUCAGCUGCACAAAUAGAUAGGACAAAAUUCCUUUUCACUGCAGUAUUGGGAGCCUGGAACUAGAGUUACCAACCCCUCUGCGUUAAAGAAGGAGCUGUCCUGAGGCUUCCAUCUCUACUGGGCUUGAGGCAAGAACAUUGUUAGGGACGGCCUGCUCUUGGCCUCUGUGCCCCAGGG
ensembl:lncRNA novel transcript